CAGUCGCCGCGGGAAAACGUAGGUGGCAAGCGUUGUCCGGAAUUAUUGGGCGUAAAGCGCGCGCAGGCGGAUCAGUCAGUCUGUCUUAAAAGUUCGGGGCUUAACCCCGUGAGGGGAUGGAAACUGCUGAUCUAGAGUAUCGGAGAGGAAAGUGGAAUUCCUAGUGUAGCGGUGAAAUGCGUAGACAUUAGGAAGAACACCAGUGGCGAAGGCGACUUUCUGGACGAAAACUGACGCUGAGGCGCGAAAGCCAGGGGAGCGAACGGGAUUAGAUACCCCGGUAGUCCCUGUCUCUUAUACA
rnacentral:rRNA from 1 species